rnacentral:lncRNA from 1 species
CAGGUCAGGUAAUAGCUGUGGGGAGGGAAAGUCCAUCAUGGGAGGGAAAGCUAGAUUGGCCACCUCAUCACAUUAUCAAAUUUCUCUGCCAUAGAAUAUUUUGCUGACACAGCCAGCAAGGAUCCCGCUGGAUCCCAUCACAAGACACACAAGAUAGGGAACUCUGAACAUGGGAGACUACCUGAAUUCAGAUCUAAAGUGCUGGGGACAGCAUGGGAGCAAGCCAGAAAGUGCUCAAGCUGCCUUGGGGUGCAACAGUAUUCCAGAUGAAAUGACUUCUUUGAGAUGCUGGAUGAAGAGGGGCCACCACUUUGUUUUUCUGGGAGAUUUAUGAAUAAGAAGAGUUCAAAAGUUUAUUAUCUUCCUUCCUGAUGUGUGUAAUAUAUGAGCUUGAAUUCAGACUUAGAAAGAACAAGAACUGACUUGAAAAUACUGAAAACUUGUUGCAUAAAAUAUUAGUCAGGUCAUCAUGAAUUUUACAGAAACCUAUCUGAAUAGAGUUAGAUUUGCCAAGCAGCUCAGUCUAUGUGUACAGUUCUACCAUCAGACAUAAUCCUUGCUAAAGUCACUGGGAUUUUCAUCUGAGUAACUUUGCAUAGAAUUUCAGUCUUGUCUGUGAAAUAUGCAAAUAAGCCCUAAAUUAAAUCAAGCAAAAAGUUUGUAUGGAUUCAGAUGAGUACAUUCAUUUAUAUAAACAGGUUAUGGAAAAACUCUCUGGAAAGAUUCGUAAUGGCCCUAUAUUUCAAUUCUACAAUUACAGAAUUGUACAAAUGUGGGGGAAACUCAAAGAUCACUGAAAGAGGUCCAGUGUAAACAAUCUUUGAGUUGCCCCUUCAGCGCUAUGACUGUUGAAAUUACAACAAUAAAGAUAAAACAGCAGAUUAAUAACCUGUAGGCCUUGGAACCAUUUUGUUAUAACUACAAUGUUUUGUACAAGCCAAGAGAAGAUAUAAAUCUGUGCUUUUAAAUCAAGUAAUAGUUCUUCAGAGUAAGCCUCAUAGUGUGUAUGUUUGUUGGGUUAAAGCUAGGUUAAAUCCCUUUCUUAAGUCUCAAGUAUUAAGGACUAAUAAAAAUUAGUUACUUGUAAUCAGCAUCCAGCCAAGUGGACAGUAAAGUGUAUACAGUAUACUUUAUGGCAACAAGCCAUGGCUGGCUUCAAACCAGGUUCUCUCUGUACAUCAAUAAGCAGCAAUUAAGUGCAAACAGAGUGGGCUUCCAAUUCUGUCAUUUAUCGCAUUGUAAAGAUGUAUUUUUGUGUUUAUUCUAAAAAGCCAAGAGCACAAGCCUGACUGAAUGCUGACCUCAGAACCACAGGAUUUUGUGGCUUUAUGCUACGCUGAGGGAGAACCAAGAUUGACAAGGUAUACAGCACUAUAGAUUGCUUCUUUUUGUUACAGGCACUUGGCUAAGGGAUUUUGCAUCUUAAGAUUUCACUCAAAUCACAUUGUAGAUUCAGUAAAGGAAAGUGGCUUUUCUGUGACAUAAUGCCUUUCAGCGUGUAAACCAAAGACUUCAGCACAUAUGAAACAAAGCCAGGGUGAAUGUAGGGCUGUUCACAAACACUGUCUUUCUCAUUGUCAACAAAGAGCAGCAUCUUACUAGCAUUAAAUCAGAACUUCUGUAUGUUACAUCACAGACUAUCUCAGCUAUCUUCACAAUGACAAUAACCAAUGAACUAAACCUAAGUAUCUCUCUCGCUGCAGAUGAGGGGCUGUGGCUGAGAGAUAGUGCCUAAUACAUACAGGAAUUUCUCUUGAUCUGUAUUCUCAGCUCGGGCUGUGGCGCAGGCUGGAGAGCAAGCCAGCUGUAACCAGCUGCAAUGAAUCACUCUGACCAGGAGGUCAUGAGUUCGAGGCCCGCUCGGAGCCUAUGUUUCUCUUGUCUUUGUUCUAUGUUAAAAGGCAUUUAAUGUUUGCCUAUAUGUGUAAUGUGAUCCGCCCUGAGUCCCCUUCGGGGUGAGAAGGGCGGAAUAUAAAAGCUGUAAAUAAAUAAAUAAAUAAAUUCUUACAUUUCAUGAGCAUAAACUAUUACUGCAGAUAGAAGUCAUUUAUUUAUUGCAUAUAUUUCUAUUCCACUCUUCUUACCCGAGGAGGACUAAGAAUGGCUUGCAAAUAAGGCAAGAUUCAGUGCUGCAAUAUAAAAUACAAAAAUAAACAACAACAUAUAAGACAAUAAAACCAAUAAAACAUAUAAACAGUUAAUACAGAUUAAAACAUAAUACCGCAUCACAAGUCAUUGUUCCUGGUGCUACAUUUCAGUCGAGUUCUAUAUGGUAUAUUCUACAUUCCAUAAUUAGACUACACCCCAAAUUCUUGUUCUCAGAGCCAGAUCUUUAGCUUUUUUCUAAAUGUCAGGAGGAAGGAGGCCAAUUUGAUGUCACUGGGAAGGGAGUUCCAUAGUUGAGGGGCCACCACUGAGAAGGCCCUGUCUGUCAUCCGCACCAGUUGUGUUAGCAAGGAGGGUGGGACCGAGAGCAAAGCCUCUUGAGAGAUCUUAAAGCUCUAGUUGAUUUAUGGGCAGAGUUAUGUUUGGACAGGUAAGUUGGGCCGGAACCAUUUAGAGCUUUAUAGGUUAAAGCCAGCACUUUGAAUUUUGCUCGGUAGCAGACUGGCAGCCAGUGGAGCUGACAUAACAGGAGGGUUGCUUGCUCCCUGUACACAGCCCCGGUGAGCAGCCUGACUGCUGCCCAUUGGACUACUUGGAGCUUCUGAACAGUCUACAAAGGCAGCCCCACAUAGAGUGUGUGCAAGUAGUCUAUGUGAGAUGUAAUCAAGGGAUGGACUACUGUGGCCAAGUCUGGCUUCUUAAGUUACAGGCGCAGUUGGUGCACAAAUUGUAAUGAUGCGAAAGCUCUCUUGGUUACCUCUGAAACCUAAGGGUUCCAAGCUCAGUGAUGAAUCCAAGAGGACUCCCAAGCUGCAGACCUGUGUCUUCAGGGGGAGUAUGACCCAUCUAACA